rnacentral:rRNA from 1 species
AUUGAACGCUGGCGGCAGGCCUAACACAUGCAAGUCGAGCGAGCGGCGGACGGGUGAGUAAUGUAUGGGGAUCUGCCCGAAAGAGGGGGAUAACCACUGGAAACGGUAGCUAAUACCGCAUACCCUCAGAUGAGCCCAGAUGGGAUUAGGUAGUUGGUGAGGUAGAAGCUCACCAAGCCGACGAUCUCUAGCUGGUCUGAGAGGAUGACCAGCCACACUGGGACUGAUACACGGCCCAGACUCCUACGUGAGGCAGCGGUGGGGAAUAUUGCGCAAUGGGGGCAACCCUGACGCAGCCAGGCCGCGUGAAUGAAGAAGGCCUUCGGGUUGUAAAGUUCUUUCGGUAGCGAGGCGUUAACUACAGAAGAAGCACCGGCUAACUCCGUGCCAGCAGCCGCGGUAAUUC